UCGAACGAGAAAGUGGAGCAAUCCAUGAGUAAAGUGGCGACCGGGUGAGUAACACGUGACUAACCUACCUCCGAGUGGGGAAUAACUCCGGGAAACCGGGGCUAAUACCGCAUAACAUCGCAAGAUCAAAGCAGCAAUGCGCUUGGAGAGGGGGUCGCGGCUGAUUAGCUAGUUGGCGGGGUAACGGCCCACCAAGGCGAAGAUCGGUAUCCGGCCUGAGAGGGCGCACGGACACACUGGAACUGAAACACGGUCCAGACUCCUACGGGAGGCAGCAGUGGGGAAUUUUGCGCAAUGGGGGAAACCCUGACGCAGCAACGCCGCGUGGAGGAUGAAGCCCUUUGGGGCGUAAACUCCUUUCGACCAAGACGAUAAUGACGGUACUGGUGGAAGAAGCACCGGCUAACUCUGUGCCAGCAGCCGCGGUAAUACAGAGGGUGCGAGCGUUGUUCGGAAUUAUUGGGCGUAAAGGGCGCGUAGGCGGUGCCACAAGUCACCUGUGAAACCUCCGGGCUUAACUCGGAGCCUGCAGGCGAAACUGUGGUGCUGGAGUGUGGGAGAGGUGCGUGGAAUUCCCGGUGUAGCGGUGAAAUGCGUAGAUAUCGGGAGGAACACCUGUGGCGAAAGCGGCGCACUGGACCAUAACUGACGCUGAGGCGCGAAAGCUAGGGGAGCAAACAGGAUUAGAUACCCUGGUAGUCCUAGCCCUAAACGAUGAUUGCUUGGUGUAGCAGGUACCCAAUCCUGCUGUGCCGCAGCUAACGCGAUAAGCAAUCCGCCUGGGGAGUACGGUCGCAAGGCUGA
rnacentral:rRNA from 1 species